rnacentral:rRNA from 1 species
AUGGUGGACGAGCUCGGCGAGGACCGGCGGAGCGCCGCUGCUACUGGUGACUGGCCCCCGGCUCAGCCCAGAUCCGGCCGGGAGGGGCAGGCUGGGACGCAUCUUGCAAGGCGUGGAUUGGCAAACGUGAUUCGCGGCGAGGUAGCGGCGUCCGCGAAAUCAACCACUGGUGCGGGCGGUGUGCUUAGAAACCUACAGAGGAGAUACACGUCAAAUUAUUUUGAACAGAGGGCACGGGCCUGCUUUGAAGCCGAUUCUCUUCUUAAAGAGAUUAAUGACCAAGAAGCUAUACGAGAGUUUGAAACGCAGAAUCCCUUGCACUCCUCAGCUCUCUCCAAGUACAUAAACGCCCGCAUCAGUGCUGAGUUCAAAACUCGAGAAAUUGCUAAGUCAGAACCGGCACGCAAUUUCUUUGGCAACUUGUUUUCUCCAGGAGGAACUGCUAAGUCAGAACCGGUGCGCAAUUUUUUUGGCAACUUGUUUUCUCUAGGAGGAACUGCUAAGUCAGAACCAGCGUGCAAUUUUUUUGGCAACUUGUUUUCUCCAGGAGGAACUGCUAAGUCAGAAUCGGUCCACCCGUCCAAACCAUUGGACAUAGCUUCUUGGAUUGUGAUGGGGACCACUGCAGCCUAUCUUGGCCUUGUGCUCUAUGCUAUGCUUAACAGAUCGGAUGAGCUAGGCACGGAUGAAGAAUAUCGUAAUUUUUCUAUCAAAGUGUUGGAUGAUUCGAACAAGGGGGUCACUGGAAAAGGCUGUACCUUGGAUGAAGUGAACAAAGUGUUGGAUGAUUCGAGUAAGGGGGUCACUGGAAAAAGCCGUACCUUGGAUGAAGUGAACAAAGUGUUGGAUGAUAUAAUCAAAGCCGUGGAAUAUUUGAAGAAGGCGGCCACAAAUUCAAGUGCGGAGCCCAGUGAUGUCAGUGGAAAAGGCGGUAACUUUGAUGAUGUGAACAAAGGGACCACAGAUUCAAGCAGGAAGUCCAGUUACGUUGACGCCAAAAAAGGUAGCGUGUCGAUGAAAUCAACCACAGGAUUCCGUGGUGUCAAGGGAGUUGACGAAGCAAAAGCUGAGCUCGAGGACUUAGUUCACUACCUAAGGAAUCCCAAGCAUUUCACGAGCCUUGGUGGCAAGCUUCCAAAGGGUGUUCUGCUUGCUGGCCCACCAGGCACAGGGAAGACCAUGUUGGCGAGAGCUGUAGCCGAGGAAGCUGGCGUCCCAUUCUUUGCACGCAGCGGCAGCGAGUUCGAGGAGAUGUGGGUGGGUGUUGGGCCUAAAAGAGUGAGGGAGCUCUUCAGUGAAGCAAAGAAGCAAUCCCCUUGCAUCAUAUUCAUCGAUGAAAUCGACACCAUCGCUGGGCAAAGGCAAGUAAAUGACAGAAAUGGGGCGAGGGAAACUCUGAACCAGCUGCUCGUUGAGAUGGAUGGCUUCAAGCAGAAUGACGGUAUCAUUGUUCUCGCAGCGACCAACUCCCCACAGUCGCUAGAUAAAGCCGUUAUUAGACCCGGGCGUUUUGACCGUCAUGUUCAGGUUCCUAAUCCAGAUGUUGAGGGCCGGCGGCAGAUCCUAGAGGCUUGUAUGUCAAAGGUCAAAGCCAAGGGUGUGGAUCUGAUGACCAUUGCGAGGGGGACACCAGGAUUCUCAGGUGCAACCCUUACAAACUUGGUGAAUGAGGCUGCUCUGAAGGCUGCCAAGGAUGGGUCGGAAGCUGUUACGAUGGAUCACAUUGAAUAUUCCAAGGACAAGAUCAUGAUGGGCAGCGAGCGCAAAUCGGCGGUGAUACCUGAUAACUGCAGGAACAUGACUGCGUACCACACGGGAGGAAGGGCCCUUGUUGCUAUCCACACGGAUGGCGCUCACCUUAUCUACAAGGCUACCAUUAUCCCGAGGGGAAACUCUCUUGGCAUGGUGAUCCAGAUGCCUGAGGAAGAAGAUGCCUAUAAAUUCUCAAGGAAGAAGAUGCUGGCGAAAUUGGACAUCCUCAUGGGCGGCAAGGUGGCUGAGGAGGUUAUAUUUGGAGAGAGCGAGGUGAGCUCUGACGCCUUAUCUGGUCUAAGAGAGGCGACUCAGCUGGCGACAGACAUGGUCACCAAGUAUGGAAUGAGCCAGCGGAUCGGCCCUGUUUGCUACGGCAACAAGAAUGAUGGGAAGCAGACGGCAACCUUGAGCUGGCAAGCGACAGCCCUGGUCGACGAGGAGGUGAAAGAAUUACUGGUCAAGGCUCGCAAGAACGCGGAAAAUAUUAUCACGGCGCACCGCAACGAGCUUAAUGUGCUAGCCGACGCCCUUCUCGAGCAUGGAACUCUCACUGGGGACCAGAUCAAACAGUUGGUAAAUGGUCUUAAAAUUGGUAAUGCGCAGAACCAGGAAACACCAUCUUCAUCCUAA